UACAGAGACCCCGAGCGUUAUCCGGAUUUAUUGGGCGUAAAGCGUGCGCAGACGGCUUUUUAAGUCUGUGGUUAAAUCUUGGUGCUUAACAUCAAGACUGCCAUGGAAACUGUUAAGCUAGAGGAUGGAAGAGGUCAACGGAAUUGCCAGUGUAACGGUAAAAUGUGUUAAUAUUGGCAAGAACACCAGAUGCGAAAGCGGUUGACUGGUACAAUCCUGACGUUGUGGCACGAAAGCGUGGGUAGCGAAUGGG
rnacentral:rRNA from 1 species